AACCUCCCCACCCCCCCCCAUUACACACACUGCCCCACAAACACAAUCCCCAUACACACACACUGCCUCCCUGUAAUGGGGCAGAGUGUGUAAUGGGGGGGGGAGGGGGAGGAG
rnacentral:miRNA from 1 species